AGAAUAACUUUGAAAAUGGAAACUCUAGAUUUCUAAUUCUCCUCUAAUCUCUCAUCUCUCGUUCAUCUCCAAAUCUCCCUCACUCUCCCGCCGCCUCAGUCACUCUCUCUCACUCCCUCGCCCGGCCGCCGCCCGCUGCCUUACCAGUUCGCUGCCCGCCGCCCCACCAGUUCGCCCGCCCGCUGCCGGCGAAGGCGGGGACAGCAGCAGCUGCAGCAGACGCGACACACCGCACACGCCCUUCCUCCUCCAGUUCGCUCGCCGCCCCUCUUUCCCUUCUCGGACCACUCCAGCUCCAGCUCGCCGGCCACCUUCUCGGACCUCUCGGAGCACUCCAAUUCGUCGGCGGUCGGCCUCACCCUGCCAGCCUACCCUCUCAGUUCACCGGCGAAGGCGGAGUUACAGUUUAUUCGAUCGGGAAUCGAUGCCUAAAUACAAAAACGAGCCCCUUGCAGUUCGCGUUUAUACAGUUUGCGAUGAAUCAAAGUACCUGAUUGUAAGGAAUGUUCCUUCCUUGGGUUGUGGCGAUGAGCUCUUGAAAUUGCUCUCUUCUUAUGGCCCAGUUGCAGAAUGUAAGCCGAUGGAUGCCGAAGACUGUGAGGUGUAUACCGAUGUUUAUUGGAUCAAAUUUCAUCAAGUUAACAAUGCUAGGUUUGCCAAAAGAAAGUUAGAUGAGUCUAUUUUUCUAGGAAACCGAAUACAAGUGACAUAUGCGCCCGAGUAUGAGAGCCUUUCCGACACAAAAGAGAAGUUAGAAGGGAGGAGGAAGGAAGUUCUAGCACGACUAAACCCUAGAAGAUCCAAAGGCCCUUCCGAUUCUAGUAGAGAGCCUUCCUCAGCUUCCACUCCUUCGCUCAAGGAUUCAUGCCCCCCAAAUUCUUCCUUACCUCAAAGGCAGAUGAGCGAAUCACGAGAUGCUAUCACUGGACAUGCAUCUUCCAUGCCAUUAGUUUCUUCUGAUAAGGAAUAUUUUCCAUCAGAAUCUAUGAAUCAAACGGUUAAGUUGGUGAGGGACAAACUGAAUAAGAUAGAAUCAAGUUCCGAGCACGCGGCAUCGGGGCCUUCGAAGAAGGCGCGUGUCGACAAUAGAAGAAGAAUCUAGUAUCUAUCUAUUAUACUAAAACAAAGUUGUGAUUAAAAAAAAAUGUUCAUGCCUAAAAUAGAGGUCAAGUGAGAACUCUUAAUUCUUGAUGAGGGCAGCGUCGUUGACGUGCUGCCGGAUUUGGAGGAUCGAGCAUCAGUCGGGCUGGUUGCUGCUCAGCCGCUUGUUGUCGGAGGCUGGAAGGACCUCUGUGACGACCGAGAUCUGGUCGGAGCCGUCAAUGAGCGCCUCCGUCUCCAGCGCCUAGAUGGCAGCAACCUGCGAAAUCCUUAGUGCGGAGGAGCUUCUCAGCGAUGCCGAAGAGGCGCUCGGCUUCGGCACGGCUGGUGGUGGUGCGAUUGCGAUGCUCCAUGAGAUCUAUGACUCAAAGCUCUUGCGCUUCCAUAUAUCCACACUCAUUUGUUGAGUUUUCUUUAUUUUUUUUUCUCUCGUUUUCGUACUCAUUCCUCAUUUUCACUGUAAAUGAAGGAUAUUAUUCUUUUAUUUUUGGUGUGAUAAUAUUAUUUUUCAUUGAGA